UGUGCGUCCUCGUUUGGCAUCUACAACACCAAUUGCUGAACGGGGAUCUGCGAAAAGACGCAGCCCAGUUGAAGCUCGUCUCCAUCGCCGUGCUCGGUAGUGGCGGCUGGAAUGGAUAGCCCGCAUGAUGCUACAGCCGGAGAAACCGCAACGGCAGCUCCUGCAGCCGAUCGACAAUGGAGGGGGGAGGUCGGACCAACUCAAUCCAGCGCGCCUUUAGCCUCGCCGCGGAGAGAGGCUCGCCUGUCGUCUUCGAGCCGGCCAUGGGUAUGGUCUUCUCGUCAGACCAAGAGGCGCACGAGUUUUACAACGCCUAUUCUUGGGAAGUUGGGUUUGGGAUCAAGCGGGGAAACAAGUAUACCACGAAGCCCGCAUGCUACAAAACAAUGCAGGAAUUCCUCUGCUCGUGCGAGGGAUCCAACAAGGAGGAGAACACAAAAUCUGCUAGGACAAAAUGCAAGGCUAUGGUCAGGCUAAAGAGGACUGCAGAUGAUGGAUGGUACUUCUCCACAGUCGUCCUGACCCAUAACCACGAGCUUGCAGACACUGCCGGAGAGAAGAAGGUGUGGAAGUGCCACAAUACCAUUGACUAGCCCAUCAAAGAACUGAUCAAGCAUAUGCGGUCUAACAACAUCCCUGUGAACAAGGUUUAUGGCGUGAUGUCCGAUAUACACGGGCGUCAUGAAGAGGUUCCCUUCGGCAAGCGUUGUCUGAAGAAUCUAUGCGCAACCCUCGUACAUGAUUCAAGCCUCGACGACAUCACGAAGACGCUCGAUAUAUUCAGUAAGAUGCAAGCGCAAAACCCUGAUUUUUUUACGCGGUGAAGGUCGACUCAGAGAGGCGUGUGCAUGGCAUUCUUUGGUGUCACUCGAAGAGCCGAGCUGACUAUCAUCUGUUUGGUGACGUGCUGACCUUCGACACCACUUAUAAGAGUAAUCUGUAUGAGAUGCCUGUGGGUCUUUUCGUUGGAGUGAACAAUCACUACCAAUCUGCACUGUUUGGGUGUGUUAUUCUCAGAGAAGAAACAGAAGACUCAUUCAAGUGGCCAUUUUCUACCUUUGUUGAAGCCAACGGCGGGAAGACGCCACAGACGAUACUCACAGAUCAAUGCCGGCAGAUGGAAGUUGCUAUCGCUCAUACAAUGCCCUCUACAGUCCACCGUUUGUGCAAAUGGCACGUUAUGAAAAGUAUAAAGGAGAAUCUUCGGGCAUUAUAUAAGAAAGGGAC